UGGGGAAUUUUGGACAAUGGGCGAAAGCCUGAUCCAGCAAUGCCGCGUGUGUGAAGAAGGCCUUCGGGUUGUAAAGCACUUUUGUCCGGAAAGAAAUCCUUGGCUCUAAUACAGUCGGGGGAUGACGGUACCGGAAGAAUAAGCACCGGCUAACUACGUGCCAGCAGCCGCGGUAAUACGUAGGGUGCAAGCGUUAAUCGGAAUUACUGGGCGUAAAGCGUGCGCAGGCGGUUUGCUAAGACCGAUGUGAAAUCCCCGGGCUCAACCUGGGAACUGCAUUGGUGACUGGCAGGCUAGAGUAUGGCAGAGGGGGGUAGAAUUCCACGUGUAGCAGUGAAAUGCGUAGAGAUGUGGAGGAAUACCGAUGGCGAAGGCAGCCCCCGGGCCAAUACUGACGCUCAUGCACGAAAGCGUGGGGGAGCAAAACAGGAUUAGAUACCCUGGUAGUCCACGCCCUAAAACGAUGUCAACUAGUUGUUGGGGAUUCAUUUCCUUAGUAACGUAGCUAACGCGUGAAGUUGACCGCCUGGGGAGUACGGUCGCAAGAUUAAAACUUAAAGGAAUUGACGGGGUCAUAGCUGUUUCCU
rnacentral:rRNA from 1 species